AAAUGUUGGGUUAAGUCCCGCAACGAGCGCAACCCUUAUCCUUUGUUGCCAGCGGUUAGGCCGGGAACUCAAAGGAGACUGCCAGUGAUAAACUGGAGGAAGGUGGGGAUGACGUCAAGUCAUCAUGGCCCUUACGAGUAGGGCUACACACGUGCUACAAUGGCGCAUACAAAGAGAAGCGACCUCGCGAGAGCAAGCGGACCUCAUAAAGUGCGUCGUAGUCCGGAUUGGAGUCUGCAACUCGACUCCAUGAAGUCGGAAUCGCUAGUAAUCGUGGAUCAGAAUGCCACGGUGAAUACGUUCCUGGGUCUUG
rnacentral:rRNA from 1 species